rnacentral:lncRNA from 1 species
CUGUGGCCUUCUAAUCCAAGCAUGUACUUAAUGGUAAAUGCAGCAAGGUUGCUUCUAGAGAAACAUGAAUUUUUAGGUUGAUAAUCGUUGUGGAUUUGUCUAAUGAGGAGAAGAGCUGUAGCCAUUCCUUUUGGGCAAAUACUAAGAAGAAUCAACAGCCAUUUCUAAGAGGGAUAUCCAUCUGGAGUUCUGGAUGUGUCCUCUGAGAAGGUUCCCAUGACACCAAGUGCUCUGGAGGUCAACACCGAUCCUGAGUGAAGAUUGCAGCAACUGAGUAUGGAUGCACUGCUCUCCAGGCUCCUGGAUGUGGAGCUGUUCAUUUCUCCUCCAGAGCUGGAUGGAGGCCCAGGCUGCCUCGCAGCAUUGAGCGAUGCCAUGCCAAUUCCAG